rnacentral:rRNA from 1 species
UACGUAGGGCGCAAGCGUUAUCCGGAAUUAUUGGGCGUAAAAAGCUCGUAGGCGGUCUGUUGCGUCGGCUGUGAAAACCCGGGGCUCAACCCCGGGCCUGCAGCCGAUACGGGCAGACUAGAGUUCGGCAGGGGAGACUGGAAUUCCUGGUGUAGCGGUGAAAUGCGCAGAUAUCAGGAGGAACACCGGUGGCGAAGGCGGGUCUCUGGGCCGAUACUGACGCUGAGGAGCGAAAGCGUGGGGAGCGAACAGG